rnacentral:ncRNA from 1 species
UAUCAAUUUGGUUCUGGUUGAUAGUUUAGUUUAAAGAAUGAAAAAUACAUGGAAUUAUUUGAGUAGAGUGAGUUUUACAUUAUAUAUAGAGUAGUUUAAUACUGCUAGGUAUAGAUAAUGGUUGAGUAUUAUUUAAUUUGUUAAAAAUAUAGAUAAGAUGCUUAGAGUGGUUCACUUCACCAGUAUUGAAGAUUAAGAAUAUAGGAAACUAUGACUUGGUAAUUCUUAGAAGGCUUGGAAAAAUUUGUGCCAGCCUCCGCGGUUAUACAGAUAAGUCAAAUUAAAUUUAAAUUGGUAGAAAAUGUAGUUAGUAUUAGUUUGUUUAAGAUAAACAGGGGGUUAUUUGAAGGUAAAAUUAUUCAAAUAACAUGUGGGUUUAAUUUUAUCUAUAAUAUGAUUCUACGAAAUCUUUUAGUUAAACCGGGAUUAGAUACCCCGUUAUUUAAGAUGUAAAUAGCUUAAGAUACCUGAGUAUUACGGGAGUAAAAAAAUUAUUAAAUAAUUAAUAAUAUUUGUAGUCUUAAAACUCAAAGAACUUGGCGGUGUUUUAAACCCUUUCAGGGGAACCUGUUCCGUCAUCGAUAGUCCACGAAGAACCUUACUUUUUUUGGUUUUUCAGCUUGUAUACCGUCGUCGUCAGGUGACCUUAAUAGAGAAUAGUAGUUGGCUGAUAGAACAGUUUUUCUAUACGUCAGAUCAAGGUGCAGCUUAUAAAAAAGUGGAGAUGGGUUACUGAUAUAAAAUUUUUUAUGGGUCUUGUUUUGAAAUAGAAUGAGAAUAAAGCGGACUUGAGAGUAAAUAUUAUGAGAAAGAGAGAAAUAUUGAAAAUGGUUUUAAAAUGUGCACAAAUCGCCCGUCGCUCUCAUUGAAAACUGAGAUAAGUCGUAACAAAGUAAGGGUACCGGAAGGUGUUCUUGAUAUUAA